CCUCCGACUCACCAUUGCUCUCACCCUCGCUCCACCAUCGCUCUCACCCUCUCCACCUCGCUCCACCAUCACUCUCACCCUUAAUCCCCCUCACCCCCUCACCCUCUCCACCUCGCUCUCACUCGAUCUCAGCGGGUUUUUCUUACCCGAUCUCAGUCAACGAUUAAAGCAAGUUCGAUCUCAGCGGGUUUUUCUUACUCGAUCUCAGGAGCAACUGGAGUUCAAGAAAGCUGUCUAAGGCGGAAAUCAAGUUCUGUUCAUUGCUCCUAGCUGGGUUUGAUGCUUCUCGCGUCUUUAACUCUUUCCCUUCUCAAAUCUCAAAGCUUUCUUCCAGUUACGCCAGCCCUACAACUUCUUUGCCUUCCUCUUCAGUAAAGGAUCCUAAAUCUUGGUGAAAGAUCUGCGGUCGACGGUGUUUUAGGCAAAGGUAUGGCCAAGGUUGCUCAACCUGGUUCCCGCUGCUUUGAAGGUUGUUGGCAGAACGAUGAAGGUUAGCCCAGUCAAAAGGAAGACUCCUUCAGAAUUUAGAAUUUCUUGGCUGAGAAAGUUAGCAAAUGAUCAACUUUCCGAUCAUGACAUCAAGUUAUUUGCUGCUAUCUUCCAUGUUAUUUGAAUCGGCAGUUUUAUUGCACUUUGCUACUGCUGCCUAGUGGAGGCUUCUGGUGAUUCUUUUGAAAACUCAUGAUGUAGUUUUACUCCUGAUUUUGUGUGGCUUUUGACUUCUGCUCUCUGUUUUACUCAUGAUGAAUUACAUGAACAACUUCUAAUUAUGUGAAGUUUUGUUUUGUUUAAGUUUCUGUUGAUAUACGAAUUGCAAUUGAGCCUUGUUAUAUUGUUGUUGCAGUCUGGUACAUAAACUACCUAAGAGAACAAACUACAAUGUAUACCACUCCCACUGUUUGAUACUUUUAUAUGCUCACUUGACUGUAACAUGGUGAUCACU